GAAAGUGGAAUUCCAUGUGUAGCGGUGAAAUGCGCAGAGAUAUGGAGGAACACCAGUGGCGAAGGCGACUUUCUGGUCUGUAACUGACGCUGAUGUGCGAAAGCGUGGGGAUCAAACAGGAUUAGAUCCCCUGGUAGUCCACGCCGUAAACGAUGAGUGCUAAGUGUUAGGGGGUUUCCGCCCCUUAGUGCUGCAGCUAACGCAUUAAGCACUCCGCCUGGGGAGUACGACCGCAA
rnacentral:rRNA from 1 species